rnacentral:rRNA from 1 species
GACGAACGCUGGCGGCGUGCUUAACACAUGCAAGUCGAACGGAAAGGCCUCUUUCGGGGGGUACUCGAGUGGCGAACGGGUGAGUAACACGUGAGUAACCUGCCCUUGACUUUGGGAUAACUUCAGGAAACUGGGGCUAAUACCGGAUAAGAGCUCCUGCUGCAUGGUGGGGGUUGGAAAGUUUCGGCGGUUGGGGAUGGACUCGCGGCUUAUCAGCUUGUUGGUGGGGUAGUGGCUUACCAAGGCUUUGACGGGUAGCCGGCCUGAGAGGGUGACCGGCCACAUUGGGACUGAGAUACGGCCCAGACUCCUACGGGAGGCAGCAGUGGGGAAUAUUGCACAAUGGGUGGAAGCCUGAUGCAGCAACGCCGUGUGCGGGAUGACGGCCUUCGGGUUGUAAACCGCUUUCGCUCAUGACGAAGCUUUGUGUGACGGUAGUGGGUAAAGAAGCACCGGCUAACUACGUG